GUACGGUGGGAAUCGAAAUGGUCGGUAAUCUGUUUGUUAAUUUGGCUUUUGAAGACCAUACUAAACGGUGUGACGGCGUAGAAGAACAAACCCUUACUAUUACAGAAAGAAGCAACAAUGCUAGGGUAGGAUAGAUAUAGGUCUGUUGCAGUUUUGGUCUAGAGUGUCUCCCCCUUUGAAGAGGAGGAUGAGUUGCCCAUGACCAGCUCGGAAACCAUAUUGCAUAGCGGAGAAGGCACAUGGAGGCAGCAGCUGUACGGCAGUGGACGGGGUCGUAAAAGCGAGGGCCGAAAGAGGAAGUAAGGGGGACCUUCUGAGUUAUUACCCUCCAACGUACACACGGGGGCCUGGGAACUGUCCUCUUCUCACAGAGGACCACGGUGCAGCGUGGAGCAGGGCUGUUCUCCGGGCCUGCUUCCCCCAUCACCCUCUGUGUACUUUACCACCCCAUCACAAGUCCACAGCCGUCAUAAUGAGACAUGAGAGUAUACAGUAUGGACAACAAGACACCGUUUGCUCCAUAAUAAAACCAUUUGCUUACCAUUGCUUUACAACAGAUUUGUUCCCACCAUG
rnacentral:lncRNA from 1 species